AUUGAACUCUGGCUGCAGGCCUAACACAUGCAAGUCGAACGAGUUGCUGACUGGUGCGUAAUGUCUGUGAAACUGCCUGAUGGAGGGGGAUAACUACUGGAAACGUUAGCUAAUACCGCAUACCAUCUGAUGUGCCCAGAUGGGAUUAGCUAUUAGGUGGGGUAAAGGCUCACCUAGGCGACGAUCCCUAGCUGGUCUGAGAGGAUGAACAGGCCGACUAGAACUGAGACACGGUCCAGACUCCUACGGUAGGCAGCAGUGGGGAAUAUUGCACAAUGGGCGCAAGCCUGUUGCAGCCAUGCCGCGGGUAUGAAGAAAGCCUUCGGGUUGUAAAGUACUUUCAGCGGGGAGGCGUUACCCGCAGAAGAAGCACCGGCUAACUCCGUGCCAGCAGCCGCGGUAAUAC
rnacentral:rRNA from 1 species